rnacentral:lncRNA from 1 species
CUUUCAGCCUCGGAGGGCAGUACAUCCUAAAGUGAAUCACCAACUUAAUUAUUCCUCUGCAAAUUACCAUCAGUGAUACGAGAUUCAACGACAAGGAGCUGUGAGAGCGCACAGGAAGGGAGCUCAUUUCUGGGGCUUUACCCCAUAAAGACAAAGAAACUGGCUGAGGAGACAAGAGAAAGAAAGUAGCAGAAGAUGGGAAGGAAACAGACGGAGUCUCACUUGUGUUGCCAAGAGAGCUUGAGCAUCAACUGGCAGUGAGGAUGGCAGGAAAGCAACUGACUUAUCCCCUCUCACCAGACCUUCCAACUGUCUGCAACACUGGCAUUGCCACGUAUCCCGGCACGUUGUUGAUCCCAUUGUGGCAUUGUGGUCAGAGAAUAUACAAAUCGCUGAAGAAUCCAUUGUUUAUGGACAUUCCUGGGAUAGUAUUCAUUUAAAUAUCUCUAUGUACACUGUAAUGGAAUAUAAUACAAAAAUGGAGUUGCACGCAAAAUGAGGGUACCACUCAGUAAAUGGUUCCACAGGGACGUCUGAUCCCCUACGAUCUGGGUUAAGAAAUGGUGUAGUGUAUUGCCGGCAGCUCAAAAGCACUCUCAUGCCAGUCACUCUUGUCUUCCACCUCAGCAAAUCUAACCACUCUUGUGACUUUUAACACUUGACGAUAAUCCUGCCUGUUUGUGAACGCAUUACACAUGAGUAGACUCAGUACAGUACGUAUUUUAUAAUCCGGGUUUCUCUUGGCAACAUUAGGUUUUUCUCCUUGCUAUUCACUUUUGUCGUGCUGUGUAGCUGAAUUUCGUUUCUUUGCAUUCCUGCGCAGUGUUUUGAAUUGUAUGACGAUGCCACAAUUUAUUCAUGCCUUUUAUUUCUAAUGGGCUCUUCAGUAGUUUCCAGCGCUGGAGUGUUAGUGUUAUUAUUGUGGUGCACGUUCACAAGGAUGUCCUUUGGUUAACAUGCGUAUGCAUUUAAGGCUGUGCUUGCAGGACUGCUUUGAUUACUUUUUCUUCCUUCAUGGCACUGUAAGUGGUGACAGUGGAUGUAUCUGGUUUUUUUUUCCCCCUGAUCUCAGAGGGAAAGCUGUCAACAUGUCACCCGUAAGUAUCGUUGUUUUUGUAGGCUUUUAAAAUAUAUUCCAACGGAAUCAAGAGACUUCCCUUUUGUUCGUAGUUGGCUAAGAGGUUUUAUCAUAAGUGCAUGGUCAUUUAAAAAAAAUCAAACCCAUGAAAUACCCUUCCUGCGUCUGUAGGGAAUAUCAUAUUUUUUCUCCUUCAUACAUUACUUCUGAGAGAUAGAUUUUUCAAGCGCUGAACCGCUUCAUUUCUAGAAUACUCUUGACUUGUUUGUGAUACGUUUUCCUUUUUGGAGAUUUAACUGAUUUGUUUUGCUAAUGCUUUAUUCAAGAUUUCUUCUUCUGUGCUUAUGUAAAAGAUAGGCCUGUGCAUUUCAUUUCUUACCAUGCCCUUUAAGGUUUUUCCCUCAUAAAACGGGAUGGGAAGCAUUUCCCGUUUUUUAUGUUACUUGGCAAGAAGGUAAGAUUGAUAUUCCUUCCUUCACAAACGUUUUGUAGAAUUAAUCGGUGGCAGCAUCAGAGUCCGUAGGUUCUUGUGGCUGUUGCUGUUGUUUCCUUCAGAUUCCGCCCGUUUAGAAUUUGUAGGACAAUUCAGAUGUUUAGUCUGUUUUCUGUCAUUUUGUUGUAUUUUCUUGAAAUGUGUAAAUUAUAUCCAAAGUUUCACGUUUGUGGGCAUAAAGUUGCUCAUGGUUUUGAAUAAUGAUCUCUUUAAUGCCUUCAUUGCCCAUAGUGAUGUCUCCUUAGCCACUCCAGACACGGGUUGCUUCAUGAUUUCUCUCCUUUUUGUUCAGGCCUACACAAGGCAUGUCUUAAUCACAUCAUCUUUUCAAAAAACCACCUCUGGCUGUGUUGUUUUAUCUUUAACUGAUUUGUACUUUUAUCGUUAUUUCAUUUCUUCUGCUUUCUUCAGGUUUAAUCUGUUGUUCAACAUGGUUAAGAAAGAUGCAAAUGUUGUGCCUUUCUUUUUCAUGCAAUCUAGACAAUUAAAAUAUAUCCCAUAAGAUUUCAUCAGGUUCAAAAUACUUUGCGAUUUCAUUGGUGAUGUUUUCCUUGAGCUAUGGGUUAUUUAGAAAAUAGGAAAUAAAAAGGAUGCCUUUUCUAAAAAUAAAAUGAAGUGAAAUAAAAAGGAUGCCCUUUUAUUUCAUUUUCUUGCUUAAUUGCCCUCUGAACUUCCGGGACUAUGUUGAGAAGAAGUAGCAAAAGCGGGCAUCUCUGUCUUGCUCCUGAUCUUAGAGGAAAAGCUUUCACUCUUUCGCCAUCGUGUACAGUGUUCACAAUGAGUAUUUUAUAUAGGACUUUUGUGACGUUGAGGUUGUUUCCUUCUGUUUCAAGGAGUUUGAGUGUUUUUAUCACGAAGGGGGUUGACUUUUGUCAGAUGCUUUUAGUGCAUCAAUUGAGCCGAUCAUGUGGUUUUGUCCUUCAUUUUGUUGAUGCCGUACACUAAAUUAGUUGAUUUUCAUUGAUCGAAACUUCCUUGCAUUCCACGAAUAAAUCCCACGUGGUCAUGGGCCUUUCAUGUGUUGUUGAACUCGGUGUGCUAGACUUUUGUUGAAUAUGUAUGCACAAACAUUCUUUUGGGAAGUGUGUGUGUGUGUGUGUGUGUGUGUGCGCGCGCGUUUCUGGUCCUAGUUCUUCUCUAACUGUUUAGUAGAAUUCUCCACUGAAGCCAUCUAGUCCUGCGGUUUUCUCUGUUGGGAGGUUGAUGAAUACUGGUUAAGUCUCCUUAUGAGUUGUCGAGAUCUGCUGAGAUUUUUUAUUUCUUCAGGAGUCAGUCUUGGCAGCGUGUACGUUUCUCAGAAUUUAUCCAUUUCUUCUAAAGUAUCAAAUUUGUUGGGGUAUAGUUGUUCCUGGUCUUCUCCUUAUAAUCUUUUUUAUUUCUGUAGUAACAAUUGUAAUGCCCCUCUGUCAUUCUGAUUUUAGUUAUUUGACCCUUCUCUGUUUUUUUCUUAAUCUGCUUAACCUAUGUUGACCUUUUCAGAGACACCAGCUCUUAGUUUCAUUGUUUUUUUUUUCCUAUUAUUUGUCUAUUCUCCAUUUCCUUUAUUUGUGCUCUAAUCUUUAUUACUUCCUUCCUUCUGCUAACUUCGGGUUUACGUUGUUCUUCCUUUGCUAGUUCUCGAAACACAAAGAUAGGCUGUUGAUUUGAGAUCUUUCUUCUUUUUCACUGUAAGGAUUUACCACAAUAAACUUCCCUCUUAACACUGCUUUCCCUGCAUCUCCUUAGUUGUGGUAUGUGGUGUUUUCAUUGUCAUGUGUCUCAAGAUACUUUCUAAUUUCCUUGUGGUCUGUUCUUUGACCCACUGGUUGUUGAAGAGAGUGU